GUCAAUGUGGUGUGGUGGUUUGAGUGUUGGACUGGGAUUCUGGAGACCAGGGUUCGAAUCCCUGCUCAGCCA
rnacentral:tRNA from 1 species